UUUUCUGCUCUCCCUCCCGAAACCCCCCCGAGCCGCUCCCGUCUCACCCAUCGCGCAAACAACUCUAGGGUUCCUUGAGCCGCCGCCGCACCGGAGCUCCUCGACCAGCCCCACCUCAUGCCGCUCCACCCACUGCUUCUCCCUCCGCCCGCGCCGCUCUCUUCCCCGCCGGCGCUGCCCACCACGAGCGGGGAGGCCCCAGAUCGUCUCGAGCAAGUCAGCGGGGCGGUGGCCAGAUCCACCACAGCAACAUCUCGUCCAGAUGGGCCGCGCCGGGAGAGGUAGAUCGAGGCGGCGGGCACCGUGUGCGUCUUGUCUCUUGGGACGCCGCUCCGACCCGAUCCGGCGAGGAGGCAGCCUCCGUCUGCGACAAUGAGGGCGGCGGCCGGCUGCGCGAGAGGUCGAUCUGAUUGUGCCUCCAUGACGGCAUCGUGAUGCCCACCGCCGACGGCGCUGCGUUGCGACCAAAGGGGCACCCGGCCACGGCCGGGGACUCACUGCAGUUGAAGCACGCCAUCUCGCCACCAUGUAUGUUGUGUGUUCUUGUGCUGCAGGUCCUUGGGGUUGGGUGUUCUUGUCGCCACCAUGUUCAUGCAGGCACGAAUUGGACUGAGAAAUGCUAACAGAGGAGGAGAAGACCAUGCAAGUCCUUGGGGUUGGGUGCGGCAACUCGCUGCUCGAAGACAAUCUUUUGGUGGUGGGGCGUCGCUGCCGCCGGCGGCACCUGCAUAGACCGUCUCGCUGGGAACGAAGAGAUGCUCCCCUGAUUUGGAGCUGUAGAAAGGAGGUGGUUGCAGACACAAAGUGGGGACACACAACUCCCAGUCAUAAUAUUCUUUAUCUUGGCUCGUUGUUUGGGGAUGGACGCAUCAAUCUGAUCGCGCUCUCCUCCAUGCCAAACGGAUCCUUGGUUCGGAGGUGCGCGGCGCCGACGAUGACAACCUUUCUAUCGACGCAAGGGCAGCAGGAGCUCAUGACGCUGUUGAUGCCACCACCAUGCACAGGGUUGAUGCAAGGUGGGACAAUGCGAUCACUAAUGGGGAGAACAUAAACUUCAAUUGAGGGCACUGUGAUUCUCUAGCUACAUGUAUCAUAGCUUCUGCAGGAGGGUGUCACCUGCGGCAUCACUUGCAUCGACCUCUCACCGAUCACCGUCCCGAGGAUGCACGACAGACUGGCGGAGCAGGGCACCAGUGAUUGUUUCACCAAUUUGCUCGACUCAUUGUUCCCUUCCUCUGUCCACGCAACAUUGCCCAUUGUUGCUAAGUUGUUAAUUCAUCAGGCCCAUUAUUGCGGCUACAUAGUCUGUUCAUCUUGCCUGCCUUCUUAGGAGAAACCAAUUUACUGAAGGUUGGCAAUUCCGAAGUUAUUGCCUUUCUACUUCAAACUGAAAUAAUUCCUCUUUGUCUUUAAUAUGGAGAUGGGCACUGAACUUUAAAAAACAGUAUGAACUCAACCCCUUCUGUAAAUCAAAUAUUUCAUUUGCGGGGACGACGUGGGGCUCAUGUCGAGCACUUCACCUGCAAUGGGUGUGGCCUUCUCCGUCUGCCAAACAUGCUACAAGUACGAGCACCAUGAGGGAACUGCCUGGAGUGCGAGACCCGCCACAAGCUCCUCAAGGGUCAGUCAGCCUCCACCCACGGCCGAAGGCACUUGCAGAUGUGAAGAAUAUCCAUGUCCGAUUACAUCGCUAGAAAGCAAAAACUAUGAGAGCCCACACUAAUCAUCAAGGGAUUUUUGAAACGAGCAGAAGAUUAGUAACUUCUACGACAUCAAAGAUCUGACCUUUUAGAGUAUGCACCAUAUUGAUUUACUUAUUGAUUUAUUCACACCAUAUCAGAUUUGUCUUGAACGUGAUACUUUAUUGACUGUACUGGGCACGGGAAGUUAACUGUUUUAAUUAUAUAGGAUUAGUCUGCACCAAUUGCUGCAUAAGUUCUCCUUGAUACCAAUUUACAUACUUGUGCUACUAGGCCUUUGGUCAGUUUGCAACUGGUAUUUUAGACAUGUACGAGUAUUCUCAUGGUAUUUCUAUAUGUUUUAAUUAGUACCAGAUGGAAUUUGCGAAUUAGUAUUACAAAGAGAAGAGAAAAGGAAACAUUAUUCACGAGUUUGCAGGAAUAUGGAAACUCAAGGUAGUCUGUUAGCAUACGUAAAAAAUGUUUUUCAUUUUAUUUCUUGGUUCGACCAAAUUAUAUUUUAUCCGAACGUAUGGAUGAUCGACACAAUGGACGUACGUAGUUUCUGGUUAGCACUAAUUAGAUAACAAUUAUGCCUACUAUUACCAUUUUUGUGCAUUGUUUGGUCGCAUUUUAGUUAAAUACAUCCUUUGUGACGAAUAAUGAUUUUUGAGCAUACUAUCUUCUUUUCAUGUGGGGAGAUCGCUGAUAGAAAAGAAAAUUGUGUUUCUGAUAUGUUAUGCUAAUUUCUAAGUCCUUCCAAUUUCGAACUACUAGGUAUGCAGCCUUAGAUGAACAACUACCUCUUUAUUUGCUUGAGGAUGAUUUGAUUGUGCAAUUAAGGCUACAUAAUUUCACUUUUCAUUUAUAUUUAUUGGUGAGGGCGAGCUGGCGGCGGCAUGGCGCGCUGGUGCGCAUGACCGCGGGUUCGGCCAGGGUGCGAGCCGAUCUGGCAUGUGCGCUGGCGAAGUAAGGCGUAGAGGUGCUCCGGCCGGCUGGGUGCGUUGGUCCGUGGCGGAGGUGCGAGGUGGGCGUGGAUCUGGCUCCUAGCAUGCGCGAGGGAGGACAUAUGGGCGUUGUGCGUUUCUUCGCGGCGGGAGGUGUGACUGUGCUACUCUGCAGAUUGAUGACGUUGUUCUCCUGGUUUCGUGGAUCUGCAGCGGGGUAGCCGGUGGUUGCGGCGCCAGAGAAUGCUGGGGCAGCGGCCUCGGGCUGAUGGCUGCUAUGGCAGGGGCUGCUGCACCGGCUCAGGAUGGUGGAUUUGGAGCGAUGCACUCAGAUCUGACCCUGGCAACCGCGUUGUUUCUAUGUUGCAUGAGUUGCUGCAGCUGGUCGUCGCGUGAGGGCUAUGCCGGCUGACGGCAGGGGGGUGCCCUACACAAUGUGCUUGGCUCUGAUGGUCUGGGUAUCGUUGCGUGACCAGAUUUGCAAGCAAGCUCACUGAUAGGAGAUCAGGGACUCGGGCGAAAGCUCCGUGACCUUCUUAGAGGCAUAGUCGUAGACAUCUUCCUAUCCUUUCAUGUGCUUGGGUUCUCCGGGUGAGAACCUAAACUCCAGUUUUCUGGAGUGGGUGGCGGCGGCGUUUACGUCGUAACCAUCUUCAGAGGUGUAGCCUUGGAGGGCCAGCCUUUGGAUGUCAUGUGGGGCUCUUUCGUUUUCAAGGGCGGUGUAUGUCGGGGCUGCGGCUCCAGGAUCUUCUAUUAAGUGUCGAGGCUGCGGCCUCGGGCAGUACUGCGACGACAGCUCCAAGAGGUAGGGCUGCUUGUCGGCAUGGCUUGGGUGAGGACCUUGAAGUGCGGAAGCAGCAAGGUUGUCAGCUCCGUCAAUGCGCCCCAGUCGGGACUGUUGGACGACAUGUUGGGGCAGCGGCCCAGGAUGUGGUGCAGCGUUUGUGGUCUAUGUGCGGUUGGCCUGAGCAGCGUGAGCUGCGGGUAGCUGUAUCGUCCGGCGUAGUGCCGGCCAGGUUGUCGCUCAUCCAGGUUGCCGACCGGGAAGAGGUGUAGUGCCGGCCAAGACGAGAACAAGGGGAAGCUGCUUGGUUGUCUGUGUUCAUCAAAGAUCAGGAGUAGUAGAAAUUCUUAAGGGCAUUGGGAUAUUGAACUGCAGAUAGCUUCGGCAGGUUUGUUAGGCUAAUAUAAAGUAGGGACCUUUGCUACAUAAUGAUACAAAGAUGAUACCGAAGGUUGUUUUGCAACUACCAAGUUUCAAGGUCACAUGGAUGCUGACAGCUCUCAGGUGUAUGGCCUAUUUGUUGCUGGGUAUUGUUGCCUUUCUUCCUGGUUUAUACAGCGGAGGAUCCUGAGUUGAUGCAUAUAUUGGCUCAAAAAGUAACUAGGCUCUGAAGUGCAGAUUGACAAGAGAGUUUCUGCUGCUAUUUGUUAAAUCUUAAAGAAACGUCUGUUCCUGAGGUUUACAAGUCCCCUUGUUCAAAUAUGAAAAUGAUUUAUUUGCAAACUUCAAUGCAAAAUGCCAUCCAGGGGGCCAGGGCGAUUAGAUGCCCAUCACUCACGGCGGCAAGAAGUUCCGUGUCGAGUUGAUGAACCAGCACCAGCUGGGAGCCCGGAUGAAGAAGGUUGUCCCCGCGGAGAAAAAGGAGAAGUGAUGAGAUGUUUUUGACAGCUAAUGGAUGAUGUUAUCUUAGUCUGUGAAUUUUUGUUUUGGUCGAUUUAGAAACCUUGUUUGAUGUCUGAAGAUCCCUUUUUGCCCACUGUUCAAACCAUCUCUUCAUUGUUGUGUAAAUGGUAACAAUACACUUCAAACAAUUAAGUUGUAAUCCCAAAAAAUAUUUUG